GUCGUAACGACACCGAACGUCGAAUUAUGAUUAACUCUAUCGCCCCGCACUGGGACGGUAACCAGGUGUGGUUGAUCACCGCGGGCGGCGCGUUGUUUGCUGCCUGGCCGAUGGUUUACGCUGCGGCGUUCUCCGGUUUCUAUGUGGCGAUGAUCCUGGUGCUGGCGUCUUUGUUCUUCCGUCCGGUCGGUUUUGAUUACCGUUCCAAGAUUGAAGACCCGCGCUGGCGCAACAUGUGGGACUGGGGCGUGUUCAUCGGUAGCUUUGUGCCGCCGCUGGUGAUUGGCGUGGCCUUUGGCAACCUGUUGCAGGGCGUACCGUUCCAUGUAGA
rnacentral:misc_RNA from 1 species